UACAGAGGUCCCCAAGCGUUGUUCGGAUUCACUGGGCGUAAAGGGUGCGUAGGCGGCCGGGUAAGUCUGAUGUGAAAUCUCCGAGCUCAACUCGGAAAUGGCAUUGGAAACUAUCCGGCUAGAGGUCUGGAGGGGGGACUGGAAUUCUCGGUGUAGCAGUGAAAUGCGUAGAUAUCGAGAGGAACACCGGUGGCGAAGGCGAGUCCCUGGACAGGUCCUGACGCUGAGGCACGAAAGCUAGGGGAGCAAACAGGAUUAGAA
rnacentral:rRNA from 1 species